ensembl:snoRNA SNORD116 Small nucleolar RNA SNORD116
UGAUCAAUGAUGACUUUAAAAAAAUGGAAACCUUGGAAAUCUGAACCAAACGAGUGACCAAGACACUUCUGUGAGCUGAGGUUCA